UCGUCUGACGUCAUAUUUUUUGAGUCUAAACCUUUCUUUAACUCUUCUGACCAUUCUGACCACUUUGAUAUAUCUGGGGUCUUACCUAUACCGACCUUUAAGGAGUCUACCAUAGCUCCUCCUUCACCUUCCGACACAGAAGUCUUACCUGAGCCUAUUAUAGCUCCUCCUUCACCUUCCGCUACAGAAGUCUUACCCAUUCCAACCGUUGGGGAGUCUAGUGUGGCUCCUCCUAGACUCCCUGCCACAGGAACACCACUCUUGACAUAUCAUCGUCACCCGCACCCAGCAUCAGGCCCAGCUGAUUCACAUCCUGCACUUGACCCUAACUCCCUGCCACAGGAACACCACUCUUGAUAUAUCAUCGUCGUCCGCACCCAGGAUCAAGCCCAGCUGAUUCACAUCCUGCACCUGACCCUGCUCCUACUGCGGACUUGUCUAUUCCUAGUACACCGAUUGCCUUCGGAAGGUUUACAGACCACCCUUAAUCCUAAUCCCCAUCAUGUCGGUUUGAGUUAUCAUUGUUUAUCGUCACC
rnacentral:lncRNA from 1 species